AUCUGUAAUCUUUAUAGACCUCGGAUAAAAUUAAAACGAUAUAGAAAAGAUUAACAUGAUCCCUACACAAAAAUGACAUGCACAAAUCUAGAGCUCUACCAAAACAAG